rnacentral:lncRNA from 1 species
UUGUGAGCCGAGUUUGCACUGAGAGCGCGAUAAACAGGCCUAUUGUCAGAGCUAGGACCAGAGCCCAGGUAACUUAGGUCUCUUCACAAUUAAAGUUGAUUCAGGCCGAAUGCGGUGACUCACGCCUGUAAUCCAAACAUUUUGGAAGUCCGAGGUGAGCGGAUCACCUGAAGUCAGGAGUUCGAGACCAGUCUGGUCAACAUGGUGAAACCCCACCUCUACUAAAAAUACAAAAAGUAGCCAGGUGUGGUGGCUCCUGCCUGCAAUCCCAACUACUUGGGAGGCUGAAGCAGGAGAAUCGCUUGAACCUGGGAGGCAAAGGUAGCAGUGAGCUGAGAUCGGGCCACUGCACUCCAGCCUGGGCGACAAAGCGAGACUCCCUCUCAAAAAAAGUAAUAAGGCCGGGCGCGGUGGCUCACGCCUGUAAUCCCAACACUUUGGGAGGCCGAGGCGGGAGGAUCACGAGGUCAAAAGAUCGAGACCAUCUUGGCCAACAUGGUGAAACCCUGUGUCUACUAAAAAUACAAAACUUAGCUGGGCUUGGUGGCGCGUGCCUGUAGUCCCAGCUACUUGGGAGGGUGAGGCAGGAGAAUCACUUGAACCCAGGAGGUGGAGGUUGCAGUGAGCAGAGAUCACGUCACUGCACUCCAGCCUGGUGACAGAGCGAGACUCUGUCUCAAAAAAUAGUAUAAUUACUAUUAU